rnacentral:misc_RNA from 1 species
UUUCAGAAUCCAUGGAUAGUGGUUGGAAGAAAGAAUACGGGUUCCUGUGGAAAAUCAGUGAAUGUUAACGGGGAUUCGGACUGAACAAACUUACUUAAGAGGGCAUGGAGGAAGAUCAGUUCCCCAAGUGUGUGCACAAUUGUGAAACACUACUAGAAAUACAUAGCACUUGAAAUGUUUAUUUUCUGGUCAUUAUGUUUUAUAUCAUACUUUAUUCUUUAUGUUACUAAUUGUUAGA